ACUGAAACAUGGAGUCCUCCCCAGAGUCCUCACAGCUCCUCCUCAAUGCCGUGGAGAACAUCAGCACAAAGAGAAGUCCUGGGCCUGGCCAACCAUCAAGAUGAGGACACUAAGGGAGCUCAACAGAUGGAGGAGUCCUUGGACUGGCCAAUCAUCAAGGAGAAGACCCUGCGGGAGGCGUGGAGGCACCGCCCACUGCAGAUAGGGGGACCACGCCCCACUGUGCCCCUGCCAUCAUCCCUGGGAGGCCCCGGGCGGGGUUCCCGGAUGUGGCGUGGGGACUCACGUCGGGAGUCUGAGCUACCUGAGGCUCUGUCUGAGGGGCAGCCUUGGGUCAUAAGAGAAGAGCCCUAGGCUCUGCCAGGCUGCAAGGUAAGGACCCUGAGGGAGGAGUGAGAGGAGAGCUCACUGGAGAGAGGGAGCUGUCCACCCCAGCUGUGCCCCUGUUGUCAUCCCCGGAAGCCCCAGACUGGACACGAGGGUUUUUCUGAGGGGGGACUCUGUGGAGGGAGGAGGCCUGGGCCCUGCCCGGCUUCAAGAUGCAGAUCCUGAGGGAGGAGGGAGGGGACCUGCCAAUGGAGACAGCGGGGCCCCUUAGAAUCCCUCGUGUCAGCCCGAUUUGGCGGGCUGCGAGCAGAGGGACGCCUCCUUACGCCCUGCCUUCCGUUUCCGGUUCUCAGGGAGCCGGCGGGGUGGGCCCAGGGAGCAUCGUCAGGUCGGUGGAAGGGAGAGGGUGCCGGCCACGUGGGGAAUCAGUGUGACUACUUUGAGGAUGGAUGGCGGCACCUUCUAGAGAUAGAGGCCCCCAAACCCCACUCUGCCCCCACUGUCGACCGCGGGAGGACUCGGGCAGGGGCGGCCGGAUGCGGUGCUCCCUUGCUUCUUCCAGGAAGCGGUUGGGCUUGUCUCAUGGAAGCGAGGCCUUCGUGUGGGGGGCAAUGGGAAUACCCAGCAGGAGGACAGAAGAUGCCUCCUGCUGCAGAACAGAUGGGGUUCAGUCCCUGCUGUCAGCCCUAGGAGACCCUGGUGGGAGUGGCGGGAUGUGGCCUCUGCUUUUAUCUGGAGGUUUUCAGGGGAGUGAGGUCCUGGGUCUGAAGGGGUGAGGGUGGAUCGGCAGGGGCAGGAGUCCCAGGCCCUACCCAGGGUCAGUUUCAGGACUGAGGGCACCCCCUGCACCAGAACACAUGGGGCCCGAAGGUUCUCUGCCUUUGCUGUCAACACAGGCGUGCCAGGGGCGUGGUUACUGGCCGUGGUCCCCCUCCCGUUCUUCUGGGGGGGGGGUGUCUGGGAGGUGAAGACUUUGGUCUGAGAGGUAGGGCCGGAGUUCAGCAGAGGGAGGAGUACCACAGCCUGCCAGAUGUCAAGAUGAAGACUCAUUUAGAGGACCUCUCACCCCAUAGAGAGAGGUCUCACAGCAACUUGUCCCUGCUGCCAGCCCUGGGAAGCCACACGGCAAGGUUGCCAAAUGUGAUGUUUCCUGACUUCCACUUUGGGAGUCUGAGGGAGGUGAGGCUUUUUCCGAGGGGUGUGACCUCAGGUUAAAGGGUACAGUCCCAGGCCCUGCCAGCCAUCAAGGAGAGAACAGUGAGGGAGGAUUGAGAGGACCUCACACCCCAGGUAGAUGUGACCUCGUUCUGCUCUGAAAAUACCCAAAUCCUAGAGAAAGGGGACCCCGGCCCUGCCUUGCCGCACCUGCCAACCCGAGGAGACCACAAGCUAGGUUGACCAGAUGUGACAUUUUCUUACUUUUGUCUGGGGGAGGUGAGGGCCUUGGUCUGUGGAGGUGACAGUCCGAGGGGGAGCCACAUCAGUUCAGAAGAGGGAGGAGUCCCAGGCUCUGCCAGGAGUCAAGGACCCUUGGUGAGUCCUGAAGGCCCUGGGAGGGUCUGGGAAGGGGGCCGGGAGAGAGGAGCUCUCACUUCUGCCCAGAGCUCUACCAGGAGUCAAGGGGAUGGAGAGUUCAGGGCGGUGAGGUCUUGGUUGGAGGCGGAAUUUCAGGUCAGCAGGGGGCAGGAGAGGCCUUGCCAGAAGUACAGAUGAAAACCUUGAGGGAAGGUUCAUGGUAUUCCCUGGGCCAGAACAGACCCCAGGCAGAGGUGGUGGAUUUGGUGUCUUUUUACUUCUGUCUGGAGUGUCCCAGGGAGGUGAAAACCUUGGUCUGAACUGGUGACAUCAGCAGAGGGAGGAGUCCCAGGAUCUGUGAGGAGUCAAGACAAGUAUCUCAAGGAGGCAAAGGCCUUGGUCUGAGUGUGAAGACAGGUCAGCUGAGGGAACCACAUCAGGUCAGAAGAGGGAGCAGUUCCAAGCUCUACCAGGAGUCAAGGAAGCUGGCAGCUCUGCAGUAGCUGAAGUUCCUCGUGGCAAACAGAGCAAAAGGCUGGAGGAAAACUUGGGCCAGGGUACCCGGAGGUUUAUACUUUUCAGUUUGCCAUGUUUUCCCGGAUCCCCGCAAGCCAUCAAGAGAAGACAUUGAGGAAGGACUGAGGGGACCUCCAACCUCAGAUGAAAGAGCACU
rnacentral:lncRNA from 1 species